UGACAUGAAAUCAAACAUUUAAUCUUGAACCCACACAACCCAGUCUCAAGGCAAGUUGUGCAACAGCAUCAUUGAUUUGUGUACAUGAUCAGAAACCUUACAGCAAAAUCACACCUACUUAUGGUUCUGUUUAGAAUCUCGCAGCACCUGGUUCAGGCCGGGUGGAGUGUGGUCAAUACAGAAAGAAGUUUACAGUGACUUCUGACACAACCUGUUUAUUUGAAUUCAAUCAAAACUACAAUCGUUCCUGGAACUUUAUCAAAGUGUUUUUGAUGCCUACAUCUUUGUCUUUGUGUUCACCAUCCACCCACCACUUGUGAUAAUUGUUGUUCCAGUUGAAAUACAUUAUAUGAAAUACAUACUAUCCACAUGCCAUGCUCCAAUGAAGAUUGAUUUUUUUCCACAACUUUGAUACGAAAUAGUAUAGGUCAUUAGUGUGGCCCUGUGCCGGCUGCAUUGAUAGGAAAAGGACAAAAAUACAAUAAAAAUGAAUAUAGAAUUUGAAAGCUGAAUGAGUCACUUCAAACAGAAGCUCUAGUCGCGGGGCCCCACAGCCCUUUUGAGCCCCGGGUUUUUUCCAUGGUUACCAUGAUUAUACUGAUCCGGGAAAUUUUUUGACAUUUGCCAUCUCAUUAAUAAUCAGCUGACCCAGUGGUUGGUGUCAGUAUUUUUGGUCUCUACCUUAAGACAAGCUGCUGGUGAAGAGUGUGGGUGCUCUCUCCUGGUCACAGUAAGAUAAUGCAGUCAUAAAAUCACUAUAGCCAAAAGUAUGUGGACGGUGAAGUGCAUUUAUGUCUGUUUUUCCUGGAUUGGUUUGGUAUGUUUACAACCUUGUCUUGUCUUCUCUCUCUUUCUAAUUCAUAAGGGAUUAAAUUUAUAUCUUAGAUCCUGAUUAUAUGUUAACAACACUAGCCAGUUACCAUUAACACAUUUUUUAUUGAAAUAAGUGCUUUCAACCCUGAAGAUAUUACGCAAAAGUGCAAAUAUUGUACAUUUAUAAAAGGUUAAUUUAUUGCACGGGCUUGAGCCCACUGAGUAAGUGUAGACUUUGAGCACUGAUGAUGGUUUGGGUGUGUUGGACUGCUCCGAUUCUUCGCGAGGUGUCUAAAAGAAUACUCCGUACAUAUGGAAUAUGUAGCUUGCUGGUCUCAAUAAAGUCUCAACAUGAUAGAGAACUGUAGGUUACAUUGUAACCGUGGUUCUCUGAGUGAAGAGACUGUCUCUCCACUUCUUCAUCGCUCAGAAUCUGGUGUUGGUUAAUAAAAAAACAGAGCAAUCACACACACCUCUGCCUUAUAUGCCCGUGCGUGCCAGUACUACUGGUGUGUUUUAAACAAUAUCCACGUCAACUGUCAGGUGGGGGACAUUCUCUGUAAAUAUGGAAUAUGUAGCUGGGUGAAGAUAGUAUCUUCACUUAGAGAACCACAGUUAGUUCAGUUCCCCAUACUAUGCCAGAUUACCAGUCCAGCACUGGGUUAUGCUGUAGAAUGUGGUGGUAGAAUUAGGAUUUUAAGAAUUUUUUUCUUCCUCCCCGAUUGUUUAUCACUUUACUGCAGAGCUGCAUUCCCAUAUACAUAUCAGAGCUGAUGAUGUCACAAUGGUAGAUGGAAUUCCUUGGAAGUUAGCUUUGAUCAUCAGGAUUCCAUUUCUUCUUCUAAUCUUUAUUUCUGCAUGUUUACUGUCCAAAUCAUAUUCCAAUGUAAAACGCAAAGAGCUGUGUCAUUGUCAACACUGAAAACAGAUUUAAACCUGUUAUUGAUCAAUUAGAAAACACAAGAGUUGCCUCACUCCUCCGAACAUAUAGAUAACACAGAUAUGAUACAUCUGCCAGUGACGGCGGGGCAUUGAGGUCUAAAUUGAGACAGAAUCCCUGAAAAAAAUCCAAAAAUGUUGACUAACUUGAUAUUCAUUCAUAGUAUUUAAUUUACUUUUUAAAUAUAUAUGUCUAUACCUGUGACCCGGAAGUGAUGUGGAAGUGGUUUUGUUAACACAUCAUCAAACACUAUCACAACUGUUUCAGUCACCAAACACCAUAAAAACUUAGAAAAUGACCUUGCAUCUGUUAACAACUAUAUUAUUAAGGUUCAUAGAGGGUUAUUGUUUUUAUAGAAGAUUUUAAGAUACUGUCGAUCACCUUUAAAAUUCCCAUACUAUGCAAAAUGCACUUUUUCGUGGUUUUCUAACUAUCUUACUUUCUAUGUGUGUCCUCUCUCUCUUUUGCUUGCUCCACUUUCAGAAGACGCGCUCAAACACGCUGGUCAGCUUUCUUGACCUCAACACGUCCUAUAGGGGCCACAUCACCUCCUCCAGGGAGGUGACACUCCCCGGGCUUGGUGUGUUCCGCCCACUGAAACCUGGUAAAUUUACCUUGCAACAGCCAUGUUUUAUUAUUUACAGUUGUUCAAAAGUUGUCAGAUUGGAUUUUGGGAUAAUGGAUCGGAUCAAAUCUUGAAAAUGGGUUGUUCAAAAUUAGAAAAGUAGAUCACCUAAUCCAAUCUUGGUUUUAAUCCAGAUCAAACCUUCAGAUUGUAUUGUUGAAAACAGCCAGGAGGGAGUUGCAGUAGUCCAGGCGUGAGAUGACAAGAGCCUGCACCAAUACCUUUGUCGCUUUCUCUGUGAGGACCGGAUGUAUCCUCCUGAUGUUGUGGAGUAUGAAACUGCAGCAGCGGGUUGUCAGUGCGAUGUUGGCAGCGAAGGACAGCUGGUCGUCCUGUGUCACACCCAGGUUCCUUCACCACAGAGUUCUCAAUGGAAAGGACCAUAUGUGUCAGUUGUCAUCUGCGUAGCUAUGGUAUCAAAAGCCAUGUGAGUGAAUGACAGAGCCUAAUGACCUAGUGUACAGAGAGAAGAGGAUGGGGCCCAGAACAGAGCCUUGAGGGACCCCAGUAGUGAGGUUGCAGGGUUCAGACACAGAUCCUCUCCAAGUAAACCUCAUCCCAUUUGAAUGACAGCAGAGGCGAGACACCGAGACCGCCGCCCGGAAAGACGAGCACAAUCUCUGAGUGUCAGCAAGGAUGGUUCUGCCAACAUCAAGUCCUCCUCCUCAAGUCCCAGCUGCUCCUCCUCCCCACGUCCCACCUGCUCCUCUUCCUCACGUCCCACCUGCUCCUCCUCCUCAAGUCCCCGCUGCUCCUCCUCCCCACGUCCCACCUGCUCCUCUUCCUCACGUCCCC